rnacentral:rRNA from 1 species
CCUACGGGUGGCAGCAGUGGGGAAUAUUGCACAAUGGGGGAAACCCUGAUGCAGCGACGCCGCGUGAGUGAAGAAUUAUUUCGGUACUUAAAGCUCUAUCAGCAAGGAAAAAAAUUACGGUACCUGACUAAGAACCCACAGCUAACUACGUGCCAGCAGCCGCGGUAAGACGUAGGGGGCAAGCGUUAGACGGAUUUACUGGGUGUAAAGGGAGCGUAGACGGCAGCGCAAGUCUGGAGUGAAAUCCGAUGGCUUAACCAUGGAACUGCUUUGGACACUGGGCAGCUAGAGUGCAGGAGAGGUAAGCGGAAUUCGUGGUGGAGUGGUGAAAUGCGUAGAUAUUAGGAGGAACACCAGUGGCGAAGGCGGCUUACUGGACUGUAACUGACGUUGAGGCUCGAAAGCGUGGGGAGCAAACAGGAUUAGAUACCCCUGUAGUC